GAUAACCAUUGGAAACGAUGGCUAAUACCGCAUAAUAGCUUCGGCUCAAAGAGGGGGACCUUCGGGCCUCUCGCGUCAGGAUAUGCCCAGGUGGGAUUAGCUAGUUGGUGAGGUAAUGGCUCACCAAGGCGACGAUCCCUAGCUGGUCUGAGAGGAUGAUCAGCCACACUGGAACUGAGACACGGUCCAGACUCCUACGGGAGGCAGCAGUGGGGAAUAUUGCACAAUGGGCGCAAGCCUGAUGCAGCCAUGCCGCGUGUAUGAAGAAGGCCUUCGGGUUGUAAAGUACUUUCAGCAGUGAGGAAGGUGGUGUCGUUAAUAGCGGCAUCAUUUGACGUUAGCUGCAGAAGAAGCACCGGCUAACUCCGUGCCAGCAGCCGCGGUAAUACGGAGGGUGCGAGCGUUAAUCGGAAUUACUGGGCGUAAAGCGCAUGCAGGUGGUUUGUUAAGUCAGAUGUGAAAGCCCGGGGCUCAACCUCGGAAUUGCAUUUGAAACUGGCAGACUAGAGUACUGUAGAGGGGGGUAGAAUUUCAGGUGUAGCGGUGAAAUGCGUAGAGAUCUGAAGGAAUACCGGUGGCGAAGGCGGCCCCCCUGGACAGAUACUGACACUCAGAUGCGAAAGCGUGGGGAGCAAACAGGAUUAGAUACCCCUGGUAGUCCACGCCCGUAAAACGAUGUCUACUUGGAGGUUUG
rnacentral:rRNA from 1 species